rnacentral:rRNA from 1 species
GUUAAGUCAGUGGGUGAAAGUCUUCCGCUCAACGGGAGAACUGCCAUUGAUACUGAUUGUCUUGAGUUAUUAUGAAGUGGUUAGAAUGAGUAGUGUAGCGGUGAAAUGCAUAGAUAUUACUCAGAAUACCGAUUGCGAAGGCAGAUCACUAAUAAUAUACUGACGCUGAUGGACGAAAGCGUAGGUAGCGAACAGGAUUAGAUACCCUGGUAGUCUACGCCGUAAACGAUGGUUACUAGCUGUUCGGCCCGAUUAAGGGCUGAGUGGUUAAGCGAAAGUGAUAAGUAACCCACCUGGGGAGUACGUUCGCAAGAAUGAAACUCAAAGGAAUUGACGGGGGCCCGCACAAGCGGUGGAGCAUGUGGUUUAAUUCGAUGAUACGCGAGGAACCUUACCAGGGCUUAAAUGUAGUCUGACAGGUCUGGAAACAGACUUUUCUUCGGACAGAUUACAAGGUGCUGCAUGGUUGUCGUCAGCUCGUGCCGUGAGGUGUCAGGUUAAGUCCUAUAACGAGCGCAACCCCUGUGGUUAGUUGCCAGCGAGUAAUGUCGGGAACUCUAGCCAGACUGCCGGUGCAAACCGCGAGGAAGGUGGGGAUGACGUCA